UCAUGCCUUGGAGAAUAAGAGACGCUCAGGCCCUAGAUCAGCAAAGCAAUGAAUGACAGACUUUUUGCUACAGUCCUACUGCCUGGAAAUCAAUUAAUUAGAUGGUCUUGAUGGGCUGAACUUCGUUGACAUCAGGGACACUGUAUUAAGUGUGGUAUCUGCUUUACGCGUGCACCCGUUCCACUCUAGGCACCAGCACUAAGCACUCCCUGGCUGGGCACGGAGGUGAGACCUGGGUGUGCAGCACUGGAUCCGUGACAAAAGGAGAGAACAAAGAGGGGAAAAUCCCUGCUGAUUCAUGAGCCAUCGUCUGCACUGCCUGAGCCUCCUGCUUGGUUACGGCAGCUCAUGGCUCUCAGGUCCCCCUAUGCCGAUGGAUGCUCCUGCAGAGGCUGGGCAACAGAUGGCAAAAAAAGUCAAGGAGGUGGUGAUGGAAAAGGAUAAUAUUCAAAUCAUUUUACCUCAUCCAGGUAUGCCAUAAAGUGGAGGUGACAAAGCAAUGCUGCAGAAGGAGCAGACUUCUUGAAGGAGGAUUUGAAAGAGCAUUUGCAGGGUCUCAUUCUCAACUCAGCCCCACCAGAGCAACAAGUCCCAGGAGAGAGGACUUUGCAGACAGACCCAUGGCUGCAUUUGCAGGGCAAGCCCUCAGCCCCGACUGUGCGGGGCCACUCGGGACUCUGCUCUCAUCCUCGCAUGCGUUGCUCCCCCCUGCACCGCCGAGCAGAUGUGGCUCAUUUUGGAGCUGACAUCUGGUGCUGUCAGAGUACAUAACUGGUACUGAUUUGCAAUGCAAGCUGAGUACUCUGACCUUUUUGGUGCAUUCAGAAGAGAUGAUAGUCUGUGUGCGUUAUAUAGAUAAACUAGUCAGCGUGUGGUGUGCGCGUUUGUUUGCAAGGGUGACAAGGAAAGAGUAAAUACACAGAGAGAAACUUGCCAGAUUUGGCCAAUUCUGGCCAAUGUAAAACCUCAGCUGAGCAAGGGAUGAUGAAUAGAUGGAGGGCAUAAUGCCCUGAUCAACACAAGCAUUUCCUCAAAUCAGGAUUGCAAACACUGCUUCUCAGUUCCCUCAGCCCCUCCUGCCCAUGCCAGCAUCAUUCCCAGUCCUCUCCCCCAGCCAGCACAGCAGUACUGUGAUGCUUUAAUAGGGUGGCUGCCUUCAUCCAAAAUCUGGGAGGGCAUGGUGAGGUAUCACUGUGGCUGGGAGAGUGGGAACCAUGACAGGGGUGUCUGUUUCACAGCACAAUUCAAUGCCAGAAAUCCUAGCUUAGCACCAACUUGAACGUGAACUUAGAGCACUGCAUCACCCUACAGAAAGGGUAAAUCCAGUCUGAAAGGAAUCUCCCAGGACAGGUUAGGAUCUCCCAUAUGUAGCUCUGGGAUUUAUGCUGUCAUACAGCUGGAAUUGCCUGGGGACUUUGCUGAAGAAGCCAGCUCAAAAUCUUCCAGAGAUCUUUAGGACAGAGGGCUCCAAUCUUGCACUUUUUCUGAAGGCGCCAUGGGGACAGGCACGAGGUGACAUCCUGGGUUCCCAAACUAAUGGUAGAGCUGGGUCUGCAGCUGCCCUGUGAGCCCAACGGGUAAAACACCUCCCAUGCCUCAGGAAUUAAAGCAAAGGUUUCCCCACUGCUACCUCCCCAGCCAUGUCCUCUGAAGAUCUGGCUUUCAGUGAUGAGCAGCAUAACAAAUCAGUACAAUGGCCUUAAGAUCAAUGACAAAUAGAAGCUGAUUUCUUACAGUUCUGUACUCUGCAGCUUGGAUUUCUUGGUAGCCAGGAAGGUAGCAGACCCCAGGGGACAUGGUCCUGGGGCUGGGGUGCUGGUAACACCCUCUCCCCAUGUGGAUUUUUCCAUAGCUGAUGGGAGAUGAGGUCCAAAUGCAUCCCACCCGCAGGGAUGGCAGCCUGCUUUGUGACAGUCCCAGGAGUUCAGUCCCCUCCAAAACUGCUGUUCCCUUUUGAAAUCAGCAGAGACAGCCGAAUGGAUUCAAAAAUCACUGGGGGAGAACACAGAGACACACAAUGGUACACGGAGUAUGAGUGUGUGAACCCCCUUGCUUGAGAAACUGGGCUAAAAAUAAUAAAAUGCAAAAGCCUUGUUAUUAUCACAGCUGAACAGUCCUCUCUGACAUAUUCUAUUAAGCCGACUCUGUUUCACUCAGUUUUUGCAUUACCGGCUCUCCUUUCUGGGAAUGACCUUUUCCACGCCAGGCUUUGUAAAGCUAUUGCCAUUCUUCAUUUAGAAAUUUGCUAAAGUGUGUUUGCAGAAACCAUAGAUUUUAUUAUUUUUUAUUUUCUGAUGAAUCUUCCCUUUUUUGGGAGAAAGGAACAAAGAAUUAUGCUGCUGACCUUUCUUUGUAUUUAACAGGAUCUUUUUCCAAGUUGAAAAUCAUGCUAUUGACUCUCAGCAGGAGUAGUUCUCCCUAUCCUGUGUCACUGUAUUUAUUCAAGGGUUUCUUAAGUACAUCUGUAAUGUUAUUUAUAUUAAAACAUGG